rnacentral:rRNA from 1 species
CCUACGGGAGGCAGCAGUGGGGAAUAUUGCACAAUGGGCGAAAGCCUGAUGCAGCGACGCCGCGUGAGGGAUGACGGCCUUCGGGUUGUAAACCUCUUUCAGCAGGGAAGAAGCGAAAGUGACGGUACCUGCAGAAGAAGCGCCGGCUAACUACGUGCCAGCAGCCGCGGUAAUACGUAGGGCGCAAGCGUUGUCCGGAAUUAUUGGGCGUAAAGAGCUCGUAGGCGGCUUGUCACGUCGGAUGUGAAAGCCCGGGGCUUAACCCCGGGUCUGCAUUCGAUACGGGCUAGCUAGAGUGUGGUAGGGGAGAUCGGAAUUCCUGGUGUAGCGGUGAAAUGCGCAGAUAUCAGGAGGAACACCGGUGGCGAAGGCGGAUCUCUGGGCCAUUACUGACGCUGAGGAGCGAAAGCGUGGGGAGCGAACAGGAUUAGAUACCCUGGUAGUCCACGCCGUAAACGUUGGGAACUAGGUGUUGGCGACAUUCCACGUCGUCGGUGCCGCAGCUAACGCAUUAAGUUCCCCGCCUGGGGAGUACGGCCGCAAGGCUAAAACUCAAAGUNUAAGUGCGNGNGAGACGCGACGACGACGACGACGGAGGAG